rnacentral:lncRNA from 1 species
GUCACAUCAAGGUCGCAAGAUCGAAACCCAUCAGGAACGGUUCGGCUCCGUUACCUGUGUAGGCACUGAACAUACUUGUGCCGAACUUCCCCGAAAGAGUGCCAUCUCGGCCUUCCUAGGUCGCUGCUCUACGGGUGAGGACGCUGGUGCGGCGGGUUCUGAUGGUUUCCCCGCGAGAGCUAUCCUGCUUUCUAGAAGCCGGUCUGCGAGCCAGUUGGCGCUGAUGCGCCGGGGCAGGAGGAGGCCCCUGAUUAGGGAAUGUGCGUCACCCAGCGCCGAUCUGCGAGCCCGUGUUUCGAGGCGUUACCGUGGCCCAGUAUGGCCGAUGGUUGCAGACAACCCCCCUCCCCCAAAUUCGCUAGCCCGCCCGUGGGCUUUGUACGCGGGUGGUCUUGCGCCACGAUGCCGGAGUUGGGUGCCGGAGUCACAUCAAGGUCGCAAGAUCGAAACCCAUCGGGAACGGUUCGGCUCCGUUACCUGUGUAGGCACUGAACAUACUUGUGCCGAACUUCCCCAAACGAGCGCCAUCUCGGCCUUCCUAGGUCGCUGCUCUACGGGUGCGGACGCUGGUGCGGCGGGUUCUGAUGGUUUCCCCGCGAGAGCUAUCCUGCUUACUAGAAGCCGGUCUGCAAGCCAGUUGGCGCUGAUGCGCCGGGGCAGGAGGAGGCCCCUGAAUAGGGAAUGUGCGUCACCCAGCGCCGAUCUGCGAGCCCGUGUUUCGAGGCGUUACCGUGGCCCAGUAUGGCCGAUGGUUGCAGACAACCCCCCUCCCCCACAUACCUAACCCGCCCGUGGGCUUUGUACGCGGGUGGUCUUGCGCCACGAUGCCGGAGUUGGGUGCCGGAGUCACAUCAAGGUCGCAAGAUCGAAACCCAUCAGGAACGGUUCGGCUCCGUUAC